UUUUGGAGAAGCGCAAGGAGAGGGUCAUGAGUGCAGCACCAUACAACCUUGGCAAGAAAUCUUCCGAAUCUGCCAUCCACAAUCCAAUGGAAUGAAUAACUCUGCAGCGGUACCUGUUCUCUCUCUGCUAGGAGGGAGAGUAACAAAAACAAAUGAAGCCAACUUAGAAGGGAUUCAUUGCAAUUGAUGUAGUAAAUUAAAGAUGUAAGCACCUCUUUUUUGUUCAUAAACUAGAAUAAUUGUAAUCCUUUUUUAAUGUCAAAACUUUACGCAUAUAUCUCUAUAUAUAUAGAUAGAGAGAGAGAGAGCUGAUGUAGGAGUUCCUUUUUUUUGGGUUCCCCAUUCUGUUGAUGCAUUUGGAGCCUUUGCUUCCAAGAUGACAUUAAGUACAUUUUGUAGAUAUAUUCAACUCUCCGUCGCAUUGUGGAAAUAAAAACCAGAUUUAGAUAAAAAAAGGAUUACAAUU
rnacentral:misc_RNA from 1 species